rnacentral:rRNA from 1 species
UACGUAGGGGGCUAGCGUUGUCCGGAAUCAUUGGGCGUAAAGAGCGUGUAGGCGGUCCGGUAAGUCCGCUGUGAAAGUCGGGGGCUCAACCCUCGAAUGCCGGUGGAUACUGUCGGGCUAGAGUGCGGAAGAGGCGAGUGGAAUUCCUGGUGUAGAGGUGAAAUUCGUAGAUAUCGGGAGGAACACCGGUGGCGAAGGCGGCGACCUGGGUCGAGACUGACGCUGAGGCGCGAAAGCGUGGGGAGCAAACAGG